GCCGAAGUGGUGGAACUGGUAGACACGCACGCUUGAGGGGCGUGUGACCUAACGGUCGUGCGAGUUCGAUUCUCGCCUUCGGCACCA
rnacentral:tRNA from 1 species